rnacentral:rRNA from 1 species
GGAAGGGUUGUAUUUAUUAGAUAAAGAACCAAUAUAAUUGGUGACUCAUAAUAACUUUACGGAUCACAUUAAAUGUGACAUAUCAUUCAAGUUUCUGACCUAUCAGCUUUAGACGGUAGGGUAUUGGCCUACCGUGGCAAUGACGGGUAACGGGGAAUUAGGGUUCGAUUCCGGAGAGGGAGCCUGAGA